GAUGAACGCUGGCGGCGUGCCUAAUACAUGCCAGUCGAGCGAACAGAUGAGGAGCUUGCUCCUCUGACGUUAGCGGCGGACGGGUGAGUAACACGUGGAUAACCUACCUAUAAGACUGGGAUAACUUCGGGAAACCGGAGCUAAUACCGGAUAAUAUAUUGAACCGCAUGGUUCAAUAGUGAAAGACGGUUUUGCUGUCACUUAUAGAUGGAUCCGCGCCGCAUUAGCUAGUUGGUAAGGUAACGGCUUACCAAGGCAACGAUGCGUAGCCGACCUGAGAGGGUGAGCGGCCACACUGGAACUGAGACACGGUCCAGACUCCUACGGGAGGCAGCAGUAGGGAAUCUUCCGCAAUGGGCGAAAGCCUGACGGAGCAACGCCGCGUGAGUGAUGAAGGUCUUCGGAUCGUAAAACUCUGUUAUUAGGGAAGAACAAAUGUGUAAGUAACUAUGCACGUCUUGACGGUACCUAAUCAGAAAGCCACGGCUAACUACGUG
rnacentral:rRNA from 1 species